ensembl:snRNA U1 U1 spliceosomal RNA
UUACUUACCUGGCACCGUGAUCACGCAGGGGGUCUUCCCAGGGCGAGGCUCAUCCAGUACAUUUGGGGUAUGCCGACCCCUGUGAUCUCCCCAGAUGUGGGACACUCAACUGCAUCCUGUGUGGUUGUGGGGGACUGCACUUGUGCUCUCCCCUU